AUACGGAGGAUCCGAGCGUUAUCCGGAUUUAUUGGGUUUAAAGGGAGCGUAGGCGGAUUAUUAAGUCAGUUGUGAAAGUUUGCGGCUCGACCGUAAAAUUGCAGUUGAUACUGGUAGUCUUGAGUGCAGCAGAGGUAGGCGGAAUUCGUGGUGUAGCGGUGAAAUGCUUAGAUAUCACGAAGAACUCCGAUUGCGAAGGCAGCUUACUGGACUGUAACUGACGCUGAUGCUCGAAAGUGUGGGUAUCAAACAGGAUUAGAUACCCUGGUAGUCCACACAGUAAACGAUGAAUACUCGCUGUUUGCGAUAUACAGCAAGCGGCCAAGCGAAAGCAUUAAGUAUUCCACCUGGGGAGUACGCCGGCAACGGUGAAACUCAAAUGAAUUGGCGGGG
rnacentral:rRNA from 1 species